UUCGUUUUACAAAGCAAAACUUGACUCGAAAACUUGAAAGUUGGCGAGCGGCGUUGCGGUUUUCGAAAUCACAAAGUGAAAUAGCUUUUGGUCGACCGGCAGCGGUCGACCCGGUUGGCUUUGCAAAUCGAUGCUCGUUCGUAAAUGUCCCUCGCGAAACGAUGCAACCGCACCGGCCGAAUCCAAGGGCCAACUACCUUUGAAUUUCGAACGCGCGUCACUCUCGUUCCUCGCUCGUUUCCCGCUCGCUCUUCGUGUCCCAACGCUGCGUAAAUUUCCCGCUACAGUCUAAACUUCCGCACCUCGGAUCUCUGCUACGAUCCGAGCACACUUCGUUUAUUUAUCAGGCGCGUGGCUCGUACAGACCAAAAAAUCCUUGGAUCGCGUUCGACUUCACCGCCUGGCGAACGUUCGUAAUUUUUCACCCAGCAUCCCCGGCUUUCUCCGACCGACGCAAUUUCCUCGGCGCACAAAAAUCAUCUGGCUCCGUUACCUAAGAGUAUCGCCCGAUAUUGGAAGACAUCCGAUAAUCCGAGAUUACUCGAGUCGCUACGAAUAUCGAGCUACAGCCAUUCGAUGUCCGUGCACGUUCUCCGCGCGGCACUCGGUUUGCCGCUGCUGGUGCUAUCGUUUUAAAUUACGCUCACACCGGUUUCCCAUCUACUAACGAUCUUGUUCGCGAGAAAAAUCUCCGUGACGGAAACGUCGUUGCUGCUACUCGUCUCGUUCGAUAACGUACUUUACCUUUCGCUACGCGAUCGCGAAUUUUAAACGGUGGAAAUAUCGACACGCGAUCUUCCAACGAGCUCGAUAACGUUACAGGCAGGACAGCGUGGAUUCGAAAUCGUCUGGUCGAAAUCGGAAUACGAAUAUCGGAAAUCAUCGGAGUCGGAGGCGAGGUUGAAAGAAAAUACGCUGACCGUGGCUCGGUGUUGGCAAAUUCCGCGUAAAAUGAAAAAUGUGGCGAAAAUAAUUGAAAGUUGUGAUAAAACCGUUUACAUGUUAAAAGCGCUGCGUUCGUAUCGAUGCGCGAAAGUGCAAAAUGUGCGUAAUCGUCGUAUAAAACGGCAGCUGCAUUCCUAUGAAAUGUCGCGUUGUACCAAACCGAGUAGUAAAUAUUGAACUUUACCGUUUCUCGUAUUAGAGAAGAGAGACCGUGAAUUCUGAAACGUUUUAGAGCGAAAUUCGUGCCGUAGUUUGUUUCCCGGAAGCAGAAGUAAAAGUACUGGAAUUCGCGUUCCUAAUUAAUAAAAGAAAUCGUUGUAAAGAUUUGGGGAAACAGCCUGUUCGUUCUUCGUACGUCGAUAUCGUCGGCGUCAUCCUAGCCUCGAUAAAUCUGUAUUUUAUGGCGCAUAAAUUAGUUCGUCGCUGUUCGUCAAACGUACAACAUACACGUACACAUAUAAUUAACGCGUUAACAAUUUAUCGUAAAUGGAAUCGGGGUCGCAGUCAGAGUGGGAGUCCGAGGUAAAAACGAGAGAGGAAAAAAAAAAGAAACAGUCGGAAUCGGCGCCGGGAAUUUUGACUGCCGACUUCACAGCCCUGUUUAUAGAAAUACGUCGUUUAUAAAAAAUCGCGGUAUAAACGAGAAUUCGACGUCACCCGAGUUUCGACGACGCGUAUCGCUCGAUACGCUUAAACUGCGUUUUAAUUUUAAUUAGCAGUUCGUGCGAGCAACCACUUGGAUUAGUCGACGAUUAAUCCGACCAAUAUGGAUAUAUCGGCUGGAAUAUCGAAGACGACGGUUUCCGAUUUCUCGUUCACUUGGCUUUUCCACGGACGCGUGGAAAUACGCGCAACGAGAAACUUUCCGGUGCUUCGGACGAACAAGUGGAAACGAAGAAACCACUUUCGCGCUACUUUCUUCCGUCUUGGAGUCUCGUUUUUUCGGCUCCGUUGUUUUCUCGUUCUCGUAGUACAACGCUUUCGGCUUAGCAAAGCUUAGCGGACGUAUUCGAGAAGCGAGCAGAUGUCUGUGUCGCGUCGAAUUCUUUCCGUAGAUUUACUCGCGUACGCCUCGACGCAUGAAAAGAUAAACGCGCGUUCUCUUGCGAGGACGAGUUCUCCGAGACGUUGGGAAGAACGAUAGAAAGUUGUCGUUCCGUCGUCGAAGAGUUGCUCGUGUUUUAUUAAAACGCCGGCCGAGAAGUUUGCCUGGAAAUUUCAUUUCUUGGUCGAAGUCGACGCCCGCCAAAUAUUUCUAUUCGCCUGCGCUACACGUGCAGGUAAUGUCGCGGAUCCUACGUCCCGAUAUCGCGGAGCAACGUAUAACGGAGUAAGCAAAGUGCCGUUCAUAAAGAAGCCUUUGUUCCGAAGGUAAGACAAGACUCCGGACGACUUAAGCCAAGUGGAAGCCGCAGCUUGCGUCGCGGUUCGGAUUAAAUCUUAAAUUAUAUCCGGACCAUCUGCAUAGCGCCGUAUCCUAACGAUCGUAAUUCAUAAUCGCGAUACGUCGGCACGAGCAGCUCGAACCGUUCCGCUUUCCGAUAAUCUCUUCCACCUUUGCAGCGAACGAUUUCUAUAGCUGAGAAGCAACGACGCGAGGGAAAGCGUGUAUACGCGCGUAUAGAAAGAACACGAGAAGAAAGAGAAGGGAAAACGCGCAGGGUCCACCAAGCGGCACCGUCAUCGAAACCUCGAGCGGAUGCACGCGUUAAUCCACCUUUUGCGCGUCGAAGAUACGCGAGAACCAACGUACCCCGAUCUACAACGCGUUGCAUCACGUUACGUUACGCGCAACGCGUUGAAGCUCUAACGCGUUAUGUAUACGCGCGGUCACGCAAACACGACGACGUAGGUACGAGAACAGCACCCAAAAAGCAAACUACCGUAGCGUCCUGUUUUGCGACCAAGUUUUCAGGACAGAAAAAAAUAGUAAAAAAAAAAAUACAUAAAAAAGCUCCGCUCCCCAGCAGCUUAAAUCUAAAAAUUGUAUCAUACAACGAAAAAUGUAAAGAACCGACACAUAAUACAGCAUGGCUACGUCGUACCGCCGCGUAUCGGUACCUUUGCCUAACAUACCAUUACAAAAAUUCUUUAAAACUGCAUUCUUGGACUCAAUAAACUUUAAAUCUCAAAAAAAAAAAAAAAAAAACGUAGGUACGAGAACGGAGAACAUGCGAGUCUGACAGGCCGGGAAAUUAAUACUUCGCCUGGUUUCAGGCAUCGCGUAUGCACGCACGCGUUGGCGUAAUCGCCGACGUUCGACCAUCGCGGCCGACGUAGCCAAUCGUAACAGUACGCUGCUCCGUUUAUCGGCGCCGGUUGAUUUUUAACGCGAUGCUCGCUGUCGAUCGGAGAUGGCGUCGCGCGAAUGCAAACGUAUCGCACGCAUACUCGGCGAAUCUUUGCGGAUAUCUGGCGAUGCAACAGCAUCGAGAUGUUCGAGAGCUUCGAUUCGACGUUUUCCUACCCAGUGGUAUUCGCCACUAUAAUAAUACACGUAUUUUCAUAGCUGCUUUCGUACGUACGGGAUUUCGGCUGCGUGUCUGUAUAAACUCGGAUGCACGUACUAACUGUGUGGGUGCACGCCAAGGCAAUUUUCCGUGAGUAAACUCGACGCCUUCGUUCGGAGGUCUGUGACGCGCGUUAUCUUACGGCUCUAGUCGGGCUACGAGUCUCGAGAUGUUGGCGAGGAUCUGACAGCGGCAGGAUCUGUCUCUGUCGGGUCGAGGAUAUGGAUUCUCUAGCUUCUUGCUGCCACGAUGAUUUCUAGAAAGCAAAAUAGGAAGACGUAGGGGAGAGAGAGAAAAGAACGAGAGUUGGAGAAAGAGGGUCAAAGCGGAGAACACCGGUCUCCCUUGGAAAUCGUCUAGAAUUCGCUUGUAAACAGUGCAACUUUCGCCGCGAUCGUUACAAACCACUCGUCGCGUUCCUUAGCGUCGAGUAUCGGCUGGGUGCUGUUGGCUUUCAAUUGCUGCGAAAACGGAGUGCACGCCGGUUUCUCUCGCUUCACGGUCGGGCGGGAAAGCUCGCGCGUACGGGCAACCAGCACGGUUUUCUUCGGUAGAAUGGAAACUAAAUUCAGCGCGAGGGGGUGGGUGGGAGUUGAAUUUAAGAUCGACGACGAAGGGCGAAACGGGAAGAAGCUAGCACGGUUCGCGAGUUGGGCCGAGUUGACUGUAGUGCGUAGUGUAUACGCAUCGCGGCCGUAGCGUGUCGGGGGGGAAACCAGUCACUCGUAUAAAACCGUAGUCCGAGUCACGGCUCGAGUCAGUUUCGCUCGCGCCUCGCGUGAGUUUCGGUUCGCGGUCGUCGAGAUAACGACGCGUCGUCGUUUCCGCGCUCGUCGACCAACUUCUACUCGUCCGAGCAAGAAAAGCGUGAGCUGUCGUUUCGCGAUUUCGCCUACGUCGUUUGUCGCGUGUUUUGGUGAAUCGAUAAGCUCGAACGUUGUACGAGCCGUUGAAAACAGUGUGAUACAGCGUCGAUUAUUAUCAUGGUCGACGGGAUAGAUGGGCGAUACGGUAGGAUCCUACGGUGUUCGUCGAUCGGAUGUUUUCUUUCCGAGGGAUAUCCCGAGGAAUAACAUCGCUGGAUAUCAGACGCGAUAGAAGAUAUAGGAGUAGAAGAGGCGAGGAGAAGGCGAGGAAAGCAAAGAUCGGAAAAUCACGAGUCACGUACGCCGGAGAAUUAUCGACUGUCAAGUUUUCUAAUUAGCGUCGCGCGGGACGCGCGCGCGUCUUCCAAGUGACAGGCCGGUGACUAACCGCAAAGUCGCAUCGAUACCGCGCCGCCGUCAACCAUCCGACGAACACGUACACAACGUGGAGAGCGUCGGUUUCAGAAAAACUUUCGGAAUCAUUUAAUUAAACGAGCAGCGAGCAAAUUCGAGAUAACGGCGUAGCUGGAGCAAGCAGUUGCCACGAUAACGAAGUUUCGACCGACGAAACGAUAGAUUCCAGAGAACUUGGAAGGAAGCGCCGGCUGGGAAAAGAGAUUAUCGAACCGACCGGCCUAUUAAUUACCGGAGUUGCAGGGAAAAUUUCCACGAAAGCGUGGUAGGGCAGUAUCGAGGGAAAAGAGAAAUAAAGAAGAGAGAAGAGAAGAGAAGAGAAGAGAAGAGAGAAGAAGAGAAAAGAAACGGCAAACGCGGUAAUAGAAGAAGAUAAAAAUCGAAAGGGAAGAGCGGGUCGAUAGCUUCUUCGAUCAGAGUGUUAGAACGCGUUUGCCUGGCACGGCGCCAGCAAACGUCCGAGAACGUAGACGAUCGCUUUUCGCGUUCUGUGCGAGAAGGUGAGAGGCAUCGGUCGAUCUUGGACGAUCGAAGGAACACGACGAAUCGUGGUAAAAGCUGUGUCGCGUCGCAGUGCCGCGAGAAAAGAGAGGCAAAGUUGAGAGGUUUUGUUGGAGCGCGAUACGUACACCGAUAGAGAUAGAGCAGCAGCAGCAGCAGCAGCAGUAGCAGUAGCAGCGAGUAUAGCGCGGUAUUUCGAAAGUGGAAGGAAGAGAAGCAGAGGCGCGAACUAGAGGCGCGAAGCAGAGGAAGAGAGGAAGAACCGUGGAACCAAGUUAUUAGCGAACAGCGUCGUUUCUAGCGUCGGUGUGAAAGAGUGUUAAUCAGCAGCAACAGCGGCGGCGGCGGCAGUAGUAGCAGCGGCGGCGGGAUAUAAUGGCGGUUCGUUGAAAGCGGGAACGCACGAGGGAAGGUCACGACGUUGGUUCGCGAGACAGCCUGGUAUGACGUGACGAGAGGAAAACGCUUUGGUGCACUUCCAUCGCGAGUAUUCCAGAAAGGAAAUCCACCAUGAGAGCGUCUCGAGUAGCUGCGCUGUUGAUCCUCUGUUGCGCCAUCGG